UACGUAGGUGGCGAGCGUUGUCCGGAUUUACUGGGCGCAAAGAGCGCGCAGGCGGUCGUGCAAGUCGCGUGUGAAAGCCCCCGGCUCAACUGGGGAGGGUCACGCGAUACUGCUCGACUCGAAGGCAGGAGAGGGAAGUGGAAUUCCCGGUGUAGUGGUGAAAUGCGUAGAUAUCGGGAGGAACACCAGUGGCGAAGGCGACUUCCUGGCCUGUUCUUGACGCUGAGGCGCGAAAGCCAGGGGAGCAAACGGG
rnacentral:rRNA from 1 species